GAUGAACGCUGGCGGCGUGCCUAAUACAUGCAAGUCGAACGCGAGAGGAGGGAGCUUGCUCCCUCUGAUCGAGUGGCGGACGGGUGAGUAACACGUAAGCAAACUGCCCAUCCGCCGGGGAUAACUGCGGGAAACCGUGGCUAAUACCGGAUAAUCCUCACCACCGCGGGGUGGGGAGUUGAAAGCCGGUUUCGGCGGUCGCUGAUGGCUGGGCCGGCGGGGCAUUAGCUGGUUGGCGGGGUAAAGGCCCACCAAGGUAACGAUGCGUAGCCGACCUGAGAGGGUGAUCGGCCACAAUGGGACUGAGACACGGCCCAGACUCCUACGGGAGGCAGCAGUAGGGAAUCUUCCGGAAUGGACGCAAGUCUGACGGAGCAACGCCGCGUUAGUGAAGAAGGGUUUCGGCUCGUAAAACUCUGUUGUUAAGGAAGAACGCCAGGUAGAGUAACUGCUACCUGUGUGACGGUACUUAACCAGAAAGCCACGGCUAACUACGUGCCAGCAGCCGCGGUAA
rnacentral:rRNA from 1 species